CUGACACACUGGCAGACUCACAUCUGUGGACAUUUUACGUAAAAGACAAGUAAUGGGAGAAGGUAUUCAUUCGUCUCAGUUGUUUGUCGUGUAUUUGUCCUUCGGGUAGUGGUUUAUCUUCAGAGGUGCGUGCGGUGUCUGUAAGAUGCAUUACCAAGAUGAAGAGGAGCCAACGCACUCACAGAUGGUGAAGCCAAGAAGGGAAUCGGGAAAACUGAGAUUCAGACAUGAAAAGAGAGCUCUGCCACUCCUAAUUCUGGGAGUAAGGAAGUCUGUGAAAGCGGGAAGCUGGAGAAAGAUGCAUUAUAUGCUGCAUACUUUAUUUUAUUCUGAAAUGGCGCAUGGAGGAGCUACAGAUAAGAUUAAAGGAGAAUCGAAGGUGCCAGGACUAAAGAGGGAUCAGUGCAUAAACCUCCAGUCCAGAAAAUGAUUUGUUACUUUGUUUUUCAGUCCCUUGCUCUGAAAAGAAGGAGGGCGAAGAUGUGAGAGAUCAAAACAGGUGGUGUGGAGGAAUCAGCUCCCAUGGCUUGCGAGUGUGUGAGUGCGGCUGGGACAUGGCAAAGGUGUAAAGAGCCUCUGAGCCAAAAGCGAGGCUGGCAGUGAGCAGCGAGUGCAGAAAUCUUGAGGUGGAGGUGAAGGCUGGAUGGAAAGCCAAGCCAACCCAGUUUGGCAUGGGGAAAAGAUAAUUUACAGAGGGGGAAAGGAAGUGAACAAAAAUGGAAUAAAGCAUGUUGAAGAAUAGAAUGUAAUUUAGCAAAAAAGGGUCUUGCAUUUGUUACGUUUAGUUUGAGAGCAAAGACUCCACGUGUGGGAGUCAGUCCAAGACUGUAAGUUAAAAAAGGGUAAGAAAACAUACCAGCAGGAGUGCUGAAUUGAGAUCAAGAGCAAGCAUCCUUACAGGUCACUGGAAAAUCAGCGUCUGCCAGUCAUUACCUCACUGAGACCACAGAUAGCUGCUAGCCAAAGUGUAAAGAAAAAGCACAUUAAUCUCAAGAUAUCUCUGCAUGUUAAUUCUAGAUCUAUGAUGAUAUACUGAUGAUACCGAGUGAGAUCCUUGGAUCUGAAGAGUAGUGCCUGAGCUGUGAUUCAGGAAUAGCCUGCAGCCAUCUGCUCCAAUGUUUCAUCACACAGGUGUCUGCCCCAGCCCUGUGGCCCAGCUCCCAGUAGGAAAAACAGGAUUUACCCUGUAAGGGGGGACAGAAGAAUGCCUUUAGCUCCACAGAGAAAACACAGUGCGGAGUUUGAGAAGAGACAGCUCAUUUCUAUGGCAGUUGUUGCGCAGUGAAGUUCUUACAGCUCCAGCGGAAGAUGCCAGUGAGAUAGCCAAACGCGGGUACUAACAGCUGGGUUGACUGACAGAGGUAGGAUGCUCCACCAGAUUCACAGGUCUAUUGGUACAGGAGGCCCAAGAAGACCCUGAGCUGCUCAGCAGUAACUUGACCUUGCACGACUGCUUCUCUGCUGCUACCAUUUGGAUGUCCACCCCGUGCCUCUUCUGCAGUCAUAAGCUCCUGUCAGGAAACAAUGACAGGAGCCAGGGAAUAGAUGUAGCUACCUCCCAUGAGACCUACGUCCUGCUGAUGAGUAUUUUCCUACUGCUGACCUCAUUCUUCCCUGCUCCAAUUUUCGCAUGCUACUGCUUGUCACUUAAAGGGAGGUGAGCAGAGUGAGAGAAGAUGUCCUUCUCCUUCAGCAUGCUAUUAUUCAGAGCAUUUAAAACCUAUUGCCAUUUCUUACCUCCAUUUGUUUUUCCCUGGGCAAAACAGAAUGAAAUUUCUUUCCUCCCCUUGUUUCCUCAAUCUCUGCUUGUACUUGCUGUCUUUCUGUAAGUCCCUGGGUGCCCCUUUCAUCACAGCAUUUCUGAAGCACAACCUCCAAGACCAGAGCCAGUAGUUCAGCAGAGGCCCUUCAAGUAAGCUGGAGGAUAUCUCGUGAUCAUUGCUCCUGUUCAUACCCCCAGUGUUCACCUUUUCUGCACCUCCUCAUUCAGCACUGUCAGCUUCCAUUUGGCAUCUAAAUCAGGGUCACCCACAUUUCCCUAUUUCCCUAGACCCUAUUUCCGUGGUCCUGCUAUAUAACUAGGAUUUUUCCCUGAAGAAUUUAGCCUGCUGAUUGUUGAGGAAAAAACUCUCUCAG
rnacentral:lncRNA from 1 species